rnacentral:lncRNA from 1 species
UGGUGAAUGUGCAGGGGCGAUGAUAGGCGCUGAUGUCGAUUUUUAUUUAUACUUUUAUCCUUAUUAUACAUUCUGAUCAUUUUUUACGUUCAGGAGUUUUCUCUGUUGAUUUAACAUAAAAAACGGUGUGUUUUACUGUUAUUGCCAAGUGCCAUAUUGAUAUUGAAAUUGGGGUACAAUUCAACAUUCACUCAGUUGGGGAAACUACGAGGAGCCAAACAAAAAUUGGAUUAGCCAAUCAGCGGCUGGAGUGGGCGGGGCGAUGACCAUAUAUGGUCAUAAAAUCAGACAACUUCAUCUUUUCAAUGAAUUUUAGCAUUCAAAUGAAAAGAUAAGGCAUAAGAAUGUUUUUUAACCACGCAAGGCCUACACUCACCCGGUGCAUAAUUAACUGGCGGCUCUAAAUCGCAGAGUUACAACGCAAGGUCAAACCGUGAUUGGUCCGUGAUUGGCAAAUGUGGCGGAUUGAAACGGACGCGCCAAAAAAUGUAAGCAGUACCGUGGUUUAAAAAUGUCAUUAUUUUUAUUAUUUUGUUUAUGGUUUUUUAAAUUGUAGUUAAGUUAUUAUUAUAGAAUUAAAUAUUUUUGUUUAUUGUAAUUAAAUUAAAUCUUUGAACAAUUUUCUUUUAUAAAACCAAUCCAUUUAUUGAAUGGCCAGCUGAUUGCGACGCCCAGAACCUGCAGAAAAGCCGUUUUCCUAUCGCCAUUUUCGAGUCAAUUCGCCAAAUUUUAUCAAAUCACACCAAUUGCUAGUGAAAAAUGGAAGCCUUUUCUCUCCAAUAAGUGGACGCGAUACCGCAAGUACCGGCUUGUCAUACCGUUUUUCACACUUAGUAGCGGGGGCUGCAUUUAUGCCCAUAUAUGGUCAUCAAAAGUCCAUUUAUUGACCAAUCCAUUUUUUGACGUUCACCUUGUAGUUUCCCCAACUGCACUGGUUUUCUAUGGCCUGUUGUGCAUCAUAUUAUUGGUAAUGUGAAUAUAGGUACUCCAUACACUGCUACUUUUGGGUACAUAUAAAUGUUUGACCUGAUUUUAGUUCACUUCACCUUAUUUUUUUUUGCAGGAACAGUUAUCACACCAUUAUUGUGCAAAAAAUAAGGGUGGUUUAACGCGGCACUCUGUCAGCCACUUUUGGCUUCCAUAGACAUCAACAAGCCUAUACCUCCAACACUACCAGAGGUUGACGUUAGCUCCACGGAAUGCGCUGGCAGCUGCUGGCAGCGUGCCCAUGAAACACAGCCAGGGGUUUCCUCUGUAAAGUCAUUAUUGUCUAGGUACAUGGGCCUUUAGCAAUUGUUAACAGCUAUAAAAAUUGGAAUUAGAAAUGUUCAGGUAUUAUGAGCAUCAGCUAAACAGGGAAGCAUAUUUGGCUACAGCCCAUCUUGCAACGCCUCAAUGAAAUUUAACGAGAAACUUAAAUUGAGGGAGCAGCUACAUAACUGAGGUAAAGCCCAUAAAUCCUUGUGGAUUUACCUACAUACCUGAGGUAAAUCCACAAGGCACCUUGAGUUCAAACUAUGAAGUGACUCCAAGCGAAAUAUAGCAGAAAUUGUGACUUAAAUGAGCUUAGAAAUAAUCUGCUUAGUUCAUUUGAAAUGUAUUGUUACCCCCUUUCUAACCAUGCAUAUUUUUGUGUCUUGUGAGGUCUCAUAUAGCAAUAAAAAUAGAAAAGUUAUACAAGAGCAGUGACAUGCAUAGUUUGCUUGUGUUGUCACAACUUUGUACAAUAUUUCCAGCUUUAUAAUAUGCAGUUAUCAGUCACAUUGGGCAUCACACAUGUAUUAUUUUUUCCUGCAGGAGGGAAGACACAGGAGGGAACUAGUGACUCAUGUUUUUGCUUCUAUCGCUUCACCCCUGGGGAAUCAGUUCCUACACUCCUUGAAUAUAAUGGUCACCAAGGGGUGCUGUCCUGACACGUUCACUUUCUGUUGAGAAGGUUAGAACAAACACCAUGUGUGUCAUUUAGUUGCAUAUAUAAUGCUUCAAUGUUAAGUCUGCAUAAAGCCUGGAGUCUGUAGCCACUCUUAAUCCUAGGUUGUCGUGACCUUAAUCUAGCCUGGGUGGAUAUUUUGCUGUGCUAAAAGCACGGACUCCGCUACGCCCCAGUGCGGCGGCCGGGGCGCCUCCCCUGGAAGAAGACGGCGCCGGGGAGGGGAUGGACACUGUUACACUUGCGGUUUUUUGUGUGGGGUAGCGUAUACCCUUCUUACAGGUAUUUACUAUGGACAAUGCAUGCGGGUGACCUCCACUGCACGUGACACGUGUAAAACAGAGAGGUGUCAUUUUUGUUGUAAUGACAAUAGCACGGUACAACUUGAUUGUGAUGACAAUAACUACAUUAUAAAAAGGAUGUAGGCACCCACCGGGCAAUGUGUUUAAAUGUGUCACGGUUGGGGUGCAACUGCACGUGCACAUGUGCAGGGUGACGCUUCCAGAUGUCGAGAACGGCCGGGCCGAUUGUGCUCAGAUUUGGCACAUCGCUAGAGACCGGAGACAAGAUUGAAGUGCAGCCAACACUGCAUGGUGCUUCUCACAAGAGCUGACCCAUUGCUGUUUUUCAACUCUUCUGGAAAAGAUCCCGAAAGAAGAUAACAGCUUGUUUUCUUCACCGCCACCAGUCUACCUGCUCUCUGCACACUCGGCAGAGCGCGGCAGGGCACCCCACGGAGCUGCACUAGUCACAUCCGGGCCCCACGCCGGUCGACGGCCGAUGCGAUGGAGGCACUACUCCGAGCUGGACUGGUGGCCGGCUCGGAGCUGGUGGAUGUCGACCGCGGAGCGGCGAUCUACUCCUUCCACCGGGGCCGGCAGCAGGAGCUCCAGAUGUCCUUGUGCCACCCGUCCGGCCAGGCCUCCAUCCACCUUGUAGAGGCGGAGCGGGAGACGGUGAAGCUCACGGCUCCGUUGGAACAUGGCCGCUGGGAGGCCUGCGGCGCGGACGACGGAUGCGGCAGUUGGUCAAGACACGGCAGCGUACUCGAGGUGCUUCUCGCCUGGAGGACGCAGGCGAAUCGCGUUAUCCGAGCUGUGCCUCGUCAUGGUGCGAUGAGCCUUAAUAGACUAAUGCAUAUUCUUCCUUUGGCUGUAAUUCAUUUGCUGCUGCCCGCUGGGCUAAGGAGUAACUCUGGGCGCCUACUUUGGGCAGACGCUCGUCCAGUGCCGCUCUUCGUUUGCCGCA